UACGGGGGGGGGCAAGCGUUGUUCGGAAUUACUGGGCGUAAAGGGCUCGUAGGCGGCCAACUAAGUCGGAUGUGAAAUCCCCAGGCUCAACUUGGGAACUGCAUCCGAUACUGGAUGGCUUGAAUUCGGGAGAGGGAUGCAGAAUUCCAGGUGUAGCGGUGAAAUGCGUAGAUAUCUGGAGGAAUACCGGUGGCGAAGGCGGCAUCCUGGACCGACAUUGACGCUGAGGAGCGAAAGCUAGGGGAGCAAACGGGG
rnacentral:rRNA from 1 species